GCCUACGGGGCGCAGCAGUGGGGAAUAUUGCACAAUGGGGGAAACCCUGAUGCAGCAACGCCGCGUGGGUGAAGGAGCGUUUCGGCGCGUAAAGCCCUGUCAGCGGGGAAGAAGAAAGACGGUACCCGACCAAGAAGCCCCGGCUAACUACGUGCCAGCAGCCGCGGUAAUACGUAGGGGGCGAGCGUUAUCCGGAAUUACUGGGUGUAAAGGGAGCGUAGACGGUGAUGCAAGUCAGAAGUGAAAGCCCGCGGCUCAACUGCGGGACUGCUUUUGAAACUGUAUGACUGGAGUGCAGGAGAGGG
rnacentral:rRNA from 1 species